GUUAGAAGCCCUUUGCUUAAGGAUCCUCGGCCAGGCAGUCAACAAGGGUGUAGAGGACAACACCCUUGCUUUAAACAUUUCAGGUAUGUGUUAAGGAGUGGACAGUUUCCCACCCUCUUGCACUUAUAGUCUGGAGUCUUUGAUGCCCCUGCCCCCUCCCCAGGCUGUUUAUAGAUGGGAUGCACUGAAGGAUGGGGAUUUUCCAAAUAGGACAUGUCAGGACGGUGCUGUUGCUUAGUGCAGCACAGGAAGAAAGCUCUCUGAAGCAGGCGUGUCCUUCCACCCUCCUUCUCAGUGUCCAGGUCAGGUCACCAUGGUGCCACCUGCAGCAAGUCCAUGGCAGAACUGUAGCAGAAGCUUAGAGAAUAUGCCCAGCUUUGUAGAAACUGCAUGUCCUGGCUCCCUCCACUGAGAGGCCCGAAACACGCUCUGCACCUUUCUGCUUCAAUGCCAUUGGCUUUCUUUCUCUCUCUCAAGGCUGCAUGGCAAAAAUCCCCCCUCCCCUGCUGAAAUCCACUUACCUCCACAUUCUGUCCCUGACUUCCCUCCCUCCAGCUUCUCGUCUCUGAUCCUUACCUAAGGAAGGGAGACACACAGCCUGCGUUUAUCAGGUGUACAUUUGCAAAUCGUUGCUUGAUGUACAUAAGAAUCUGGAAUGUAGAGAACACGCCAAAUCAGCCCGCUGUAGACAGGCAGGUCUGCGCAUGCCCUACCGAGGUCCUGAGUCCCACAGAAGAUGCCAAAUCACCCUGCUGCAGACAGGUAGGUCUGCUCACACCCCACCGAGGUCUCCAGAUGUGUGGAAUAAGCCGAAUCAGCCCGCUGCAGACAGGAAGGUCUGUGCAUGCCCUACUGAGGUCCUGAGUCCCGCGGAAGACACCGAAUCACCCCGCUGCAGACAGGCAGCCACCUGGUUCCACACUACAAAGAGGCAGAGGACACCAGACCACCAGACCAAGGUACUGCGUCCUGCUGCUCCCGGCCCAGAGGUAGGGGCUUCUGAGCCCCCAUGCCACUGCUCCUGGCCCAGAGGAAGGGGCUUCCAGGCCACCAUCGCUCUCACUGCUCCCAGCCCACAGGAAAGGGCCUUUGGGUCACCAUCCCUACCACUGCUCCUGGCCCCUGUCCCACCUCUCCCAGCUCAGAGGAGGUAAUCCAUGCAGGGGCUAACAGCCCCCCGUGUGAGUUGAAAUGAGAAAACAUGUAAAUAAGUCUCAAAACCAGACUUCCAGAUCACCUACAGCAACCACAAAGGGAAAUGAGAUGGAACACUUUGAUACUCAACCACCUGGACCCACUGAACUGGCAACAAAAGGGGAUCUGGAAAAAAUGAAAUCAGAAAUAAUUUCUCAGAUAACAGGAGAAAUUGUGCCCCUAGUGCAAGACAUGAUUAAUAAAUCUAGAGAGGAGCUCAGGAACAUGAUGGAAUCCCAACACAGGAAACAAAUGGAAUCCAUAAAACAGAUGCAAAUAGAUUUCCAGGAGAUGAAAAAUUCCAUUGAAAGUCUACAUAGCAGAAUGAGCCAAUGUGAGGACAGAAUUUCAGAUAUAGAAGAUAAGAUUGCAAUUAGUGACCAGGAAAAGAAAAAUUGCUUCAAAAUUAUAAGGGAACAUAAGAAAUCAAACCAAAAGCUGCUAGAUGAUGCAAAGGAGAAUAACAUAAGACUGAUUGGAGUCAAUGAAGAAACAGGAGAGAGUGGAGAUGACAUAAAAAAUCUCUUCACAGAAAUAAUGGCAGAAAACUUCCCAAGCAGGGGAAAAGAGCUUGACAUACAGAUAAGUGAGGCAUAUAGGACUCCAAAUAGCC
ensembl:lncRNA